GAGAAUUGAAGCAAGGUAUAUUUGCUUUGAGAGUUGAAUUUCACAAGGUAUUAACAUAACCUCAUUGUUUACCAAUAGGUGUGUUUAUUACUUAAUGCCUUCGUAUUUGUUAUCCCUUCCGGUUUAUAAAAUUUAUUAGCAUGAAAUUUUUCACUAAGAUUUUAUUUGAUCAUUUCCAGUUUUUCCAUAUACGGAUCUUAAAUGAACAGAAACAAUAUUUCCAGAAUUGAAAAUAUAAUUUAAGUCCGACACAAAUUGUGUGAAUUUGUAGCUUUUCAUUACUCUGUGAACACCGUUCGUGCAUUCCAUGUGGAUCGUAAAAGUGGGCACUAAUUCCUUUUUCUGGCUCUGUGCCAAGCAUCGGAAGCCACUUGGUCUGGUUUGUAAAGCCUCCAUAUGCGAUUGGCCAAGUUCGCGCAGCAGUGAGGGACAGGUGGGGAUUUUAAUGUUUUCUUACAUAUGAAAGCUAAAACAAGUGAGUUUUAUACAGAAUAUAAUUAUGACAGACACUGUGAACGGAGUACGUUGCAACAUGAAGCGGGUUACUCCUCUAUCUACGAUCUUGUUGGAAGCUAUAAAUAAAUAUGUGCUGUAGAGGUCAGGGGAACACAAACCUUCCUGCUACAGCUGAGUCUCGUCUCACAAACUGCAAUUAUUCAGUCUCGUCUCAUUUAGGACGUCUCUGGCAGCCGAACUGCGUGAACAGUGGUUGUGUUACUUGAAAUCACAAUCUGAUAUAUUUAUUUGUGUGUGAUGAUGAAGAGUGAAUUUCUGUUUGAUGAAAUACGAGUGGAUGACAAUGAAGAUGAUGCAGGUGGAAUGCCAUAAAAGAUUCAUCUAUUGAAGUGGCGUUAGUUUAAAUGUUCUGUGCUCGUUGGUUUAGAAAAGGAGUAGCCCGAGAUACUGACUAUCCAGAAAGUAUUGGUGGGAUUAUCUUACGUAAUUUUUAUUUUUUGUGAUUUCGAAAAGAGUAUAUUUUUCAACAAAAUAUAUUGGGACUUUAUUAACCAUCUUGUACA